GAUGAACGCUGGCGGCGUGCCUAAUACAUGCAAGUCGAGCGAACAGACGCGGCUUUCGCUCCUCUCAAGUUACCGACGGACGGGUGACUAACACGUGGAUAACCCACCUAUUAGAGUUGGACAACUUCGGCAAACUGGAGCAAAUACCAGAUAAUAUAUUGAACCGCAUGGUUCAAUAGUGAAAUAGGUUUUUGAUGAGAUCUCUAGAUGGAUGCUCGUCGCAUUAGCUAGUUGGUAAGGUAACGGCUUGUCAAGGCGACGAUGCGUAGCCGACCUGAGAGGGUGUAGGGCCACACUGGGAGUGAGACGCGGUCCAGACUCCUAGGGGAGGCAGAAGUAGGGAAUCUUGCGCGAUGGGCGGAAGCCUGACGGAUGAACGCCGCGUGGGUGAUGAAAGUCUUCGUAUCGUAAAACUCUGUUAUUAGUGAAGACCAAUUGUGUAAGGAACUAUGCACGUCUUGACGGUACCUAAUCAGAAAGCAACGGCUAACUACGUG
rnacentral:rRNA from 1 species